UACGUAGGGCGCAAGCGUUAUCCGGAAUUAUUGGGCGUAAAGAGCUCGUAGGCGGUUUUGUCGCGUCUGCCGUGAAAAGUCCGGGGCUCAACUCCGGAUCUGCGGUGGGUACGGGCAGACUAGAGUGAUGUAGGGGGAGACUGGAAUUCCUGGUGUAGCGGUGAAAUGCGCAGAUAUCAGGAGGAACACCGAUGGCGAAGGCAGGUCUCUGGGCAUUAACUGACGCUGAGGAGCGAAAAGCAUGGGGAGCGAACAGG
rnacentral:rRNA from 1 species